rnacentral:rRNA from 1 species
UACGUAGGCAGCGAGCGUUGUUCGGAAUUACUGGGCGUAAAGAGUGUGUAGGCGGUGCUCUAAGUUCGGUGUGAAAUCUCCUGGCUCAACUGGGAGGGUGCCCCCGGAAACUGGAGUGCUUGAGCGUGGGAGAGGAAAGCGGAAUUCCUGGUGUAGCGGUGAAAUGCGUAGAUAUCAGGAGGAACACCUGUGGUGUAGACGGCUUUCUGGACCAUAGCUGACGCUGAGACACGAAAGCGUGGGUAGCAAACAGG